CAGUAGCCGCGGGAAUACAGAGGGUGCGAGCGUUAAUCGGAUUUACUGGGCGUAAAGCGUGCGUAGGCGGCUUUUUAAGUCGGAUGUGAAAUCCCUGAGCUUAACUUAGGAAUUGCAUUCGAUACUGGGAAGCUAGAGUAUGGGAGAGGAUGGUAGAAUUCCAGGUGUAGCGGUGAAAUGCGUAGAGAUCUGGAGGAAUACCGAUGGCGAAGGCAGCCAUCUGGCCUAAUACUGACGCUGAGGUACGAAAGCAUGGGGAGCAAACAGGAUUAGAGACCCCAGUAGUCCCUGUCUCUUAUAC
rnacentral:rRNA from 1 species